AGUCUACUCCCUCCGUUCAACGAGUCUUAACUUUGACUAAAUUUGAAUGCAUCUAUACACUAAGUUACGUCUAGAUGCAUUCAAAUUUGAUAAAUUUGAGAUAUUUUUUGUUGGACGGAGGGAUUACUUU
rfam:Brachypodium distachyon strain Bd21 chromosome 4, whole genome shotgun sequence.